CAAAAUUGAGACCUUAGAGGAGGAAGAAAUGGGGUUUAACAUUGGAUCAGCUCUUAUAAUGGUAGGCAUUGUAUCACGCCUUGUAUCUGUUGCAGAUGCUGCUGAAGGAAUUGCCGUUUUCUACAAACCUCCUUAUACUCGAAUAAUGGAGUUAUGGUUGCUGGGGUGAGUGAUGCCCUGUGGAAUGGUGGAGCAGCAUGUGGGAGAAAAUACAGUGUGUCAUGCGUACGAGGAGCAAAUCAAGCUCCAAGACCUUGCAGAAAAGGUAGUGUGGUAGUCACAGUAGUCGAUUUUUGUAGUAAAGGAUGUAAUGGAGUCAUCAAUCUCUCUCAAGAUGCUUUCUCCCGAAUUGCUGAUCCUGAUGCUGGCAAAGUUGUAGUUCGAUACGAUCAGGCUUGAGGGUUUAAUCAUGGGAGAAAGCUGUUUCGAGACCAAGCUGAUCUUCUUAGUGUUAAAAUAAAAUGGCUCGUUAUGGAACGAACUAGUCUGUUUCAUCGAUGAUGGAGGGCUUAUGUAGAAUCAAUCAAUAAAAUGAGAAUCGCCUCAAGUGAGAGACUUUUGAGAUCGUACAGUAGUUUUUAAUGUGAAAUAUAUGAACUGAACUGCAGUUUGUGCUCCGGCCGGGGAAUUCCGUGUCAGAAAAAUGCAUGAACGCGCACCCACUGUAUUAAUUUACCAUUAAAUUAACCAAGUUAUCCAUGUAACACUAGCAUAA